UGUCAAAUCAUCAUGCCCCUUAUGUCCUGGGCUACACACGUACUACAAUGGCUGUUUACAGAGGGUGGCCAAACCGCGAGGUGGAGCUAAUCCCCAAAAACAGUCCCAGUUCGGAUUGUAGGCUGAAACUCGCCUGCAUGAAGUUGGAAUUGCUAGUAAUCGCGAAUCAGCAUGUCGCGGUGAAUACGUUCCCGGGCCUU
rnacentral:rRNA from 1 species